rnacentral:rRNA from 1 species
GACGAACGCUGGCGGCGUGCUUAACACAUGCAAGUCGAACGGUAAGGCCCUUCGGGGUACACGAGUGGCGAACGGGUGAGUAACACGUGGGUGAUCUGCCCUGCACUUCGGGAUAAGCCUGGGAAACUGGGUCUAAUACCGGAUAGGACCCUGGGAUGCAUGUCCUGGGGUGGAAAGCUUUUGCGGUGUGGGAUGGGCCCGCGGCCUAUCAGCUUGUUGGUGGGGUGAUGGCCUACCAAGGGGACGACGGGUAGCCGGCCUGAGAGGGUGACCGGCCACACUGGGACUGAGAUACGGCCCAGACUCCUACGGGAGGCAGCAGUGGGGAAUAUUGCACAAUGGGCGCAAGCCUGAUGCAGCGACGCCGCGUGAGGGAUGACGGCCUUCGGGUCGUAAACCUCUUUCAGCACCGACGAAGCGCAAGUGACGGUAGGUGCAGAAGAGGGACCGGCCAACUACGUGCCAGCCGCCGCGGUAA